rnacentral:piRNA from 1 species
UAAAGGUGUCUAUGGUUUACAGUACGAUG